rnacentral:rRNA from 1 species
UACGGGGGUGGCGAGCGUUACUCGGAUUUAUUGGGUGUAAAGGGCAGGUAGGUGGCUAUGUAAGUUGGGGGUGAAAUCCUUUGGCUCAACCAAAGAACUGCCUCCAAAACUGCAUAGCUUGAGGCCAGAAGAGGAGAGCGGAAUUCCCGGUGUAAGGGUGAAAUCUGUAGAUAUCGGGAGGAACACCAGUGGCGAAAGCGGCUCUCUAGGAUGGCCCUGACGCUGAACUGCGAAAGCUAGGGGAG